GACACUUCACAACAAAACCAGUCAUUCACCCACACACAUUCACACACUGCUGGUGAUUAGCUACAAUGUGGACACAACUGUCCUGGGACUCACUGACUGAAGCAAGGCUGCUGUACACAGAUGCCACCUGUCCCUCCCACUACCACCACCUGGCAUGGAGGGUGAAGUGUCUUGCCCAAGGACACAACGACUGUGACAGACUGAGCAGGGCUCAAACCUUCAACCUUUUGAUUACAGGGCGGGCUUUUAACUCCUCUGCCACCAUUGCUCCCUAAAUUAGCUUGUAUAUGUUAUGUUUCUUCCUGGAAACAUGAAAUUCAGCCAUUUUUGGAUCUACUGAGUCAUGAGUUUUCAAUGCUAACUUUAUGCCUUUCGUCUUAAUCUAUUAUUGAUGAUCAAAUAAAGUUUCAUACAUUAGUAUGAAUUUAGUUAGCUUAGCUUGAUUUGUUUUCAUGUAUUGUAGUUGGAGAAAACUCAGACUUGUCUGACUCUGACCCAGAGAUUGUUAUUAAAAGGCCCUCUGAGUUUGAUCUUGCUGAUACACUGGUAAGUACAAUUUAAAAAAUUUUAUAGAGUUUUCUUGUUGUUUAGCCACCACCAUUUGCCUCAGUUCAGUAAAACAGUUAAUAGUUAUAUGUGAAAUACAUUUUGUGUGUGUGUGCGUGCUUGCGUGCGCGUGUUUGUUUGUUUGCUUGUUUAUUUGUUUCAGCCAUGGGAAUUCCAACAUGAAAGCAGUCCUUUACAGAAAGCGGCAGAAUAUGAGAAGGGUGCUGGGGAUCUUGUGCUUGCUAAUGAAGUACAACAGAAUCUUCUGGCGCUGAUCCGUAGCCAUGAAACUCAUGGAACGGGAGGAGGGAGAGUCACUCGUUUGUUUAUAAAGAUAGACUGCAGUACACAAAUUUGACCACAGGAUGUUCUUCUUAUUUCAUUCUUACUUAUUGUACCUUUAGAUAAUCUAUUGGGAUAGGGAACCUAAGGUACAUCCAUCUACUUCCGGACCAUGGGUCCCCUACUGCUAAAAAAAUAGGAGUCUAUGAGCCAAUAAAAAUUAUUUUCUGAUCCCGUUUGAUGUGUGCCAUGUAUUUAAAAUAUGAUGUCCGUGAAGUAUAUAAACACAUUUUGAUGCCAAAAAGUGCUUACGCGACAGGUGGCAAAGGUUAUUUUAGGUUUUGUUUGAAAAGACGUGGCGAAAUGUAAAUGUUCGUCUCACAAAAUUGACAUCAUCGAACCAGACACAGAGAAGAGGAAAAGCUUAGUUUUGUUUAGCGAGCUUCGAAUCCUUCUUCCAGGAUGAUGUGGAGAAAACCACUAUAAAUCUGGCCAUGUGAUAAUUAGCAGCUACGCUGGGGGAGAAAAGCUUCUGAGGCGACGUCAUAUUUGCGACAUCUGACUUGUAGUCAUUUUAAUGACGAAUUUUUACAAGCUAACAAAUCUCAAAUUACAUUACAGACAUAGUCGAAACACAAUUAUUUAUUAUUUAAAUUGAAGUACAACAUAUGUGUGAUUCAGAGAGUAAGGCAAAGCAGACCAGAAAAUAACUUUUAUAGCUCCAUUCACUUCCAUUCAUUUUUCUUUUGUUCAGGGACCCAUGAGCAGACCAGAAGGGGAGGAGACUUAGGCUCCCUAUAUUAAAAUAAUUAUCAAUUGGUCAAAUAUGAAUUUUCAUUCAUCCUCAUUUCUGUAUUUCCAGGUCAUAGAUUUGGAAGAAGAAAACGAUACAGGCACUACUGAAUGCCUCACUGUGGAGAGCUCCUGUUACAGAAACUACACACAGCUGUUUGAUCCGAUUGUGAUUGAUGAUGAAGAUCCUACUCCUAACGAAGCCAAAGCUGAGCCCCCAGAAGAACCUGUAGACCCCAAUUUGCAGGCACAUGAAAUUAUUGCAAAUUUGACACUGGAACUUGACCACAAGAAGGUCAGCAGGUUCAAUAUAUCAAGGUCAGCUGUAUGGGAUGGAGCUGUUAGAUGAAAUCCAUCAUCAUCAAGUUUAAUGAUGAUGCUGGCAGCUUUGAAGAAGGUUUGGAUACAGGUGGCCCGAGGCGUGAAUUCCUCACACUUCUUAUGGGCAGUCUGAGAAAUCGCCCAUCUUUGAUGGACC